GUAAAAACCAAACCCUGGUGUGCUCACCCGCUGUUCAGUGUCUACUGUUAGAAAGGACAAGACUCAAUUCUGUCUGCAAGUAGUGUUGCUUUCCUGGAAGACUUUCCCUAUUAUCUCAAAUAGGGGAGGUCAAUGGUUUCUUAGUAAGCCCUUUAUGCAUGCUAAGUAUUACUUCAAAUGUAGAGCCCCAACAGUGGAAACAGCCCCAGGUGGUAAGCAUUGCCUCAAAUCAAACUGUGAGAAAAUCCCAGGCAGGUGGAGCUGUUCUUCUCUGUUCAGCAGAAGUAACAGAAGAACCUGCAUCUAUCAAUAUUUGUCUGCAUAUGAAACUACUAAAGCCAAAGCUCUCUGGGCGGUUUACAACAAUUAAUUAUCCUGCAUGAACAGAAAGGCCAACCUAGAGGAUACACAGGAGAUAGGAGUAACAUGAAUUCUCUCUCUCCACAAAAUUGGCUUUUGAAGCAGGAACAAACAGGAACACCUUUCACUCUGAUUGGCUCCAAUCAGCAGGAAAGAACAAGGAAAAACUUCAGUUUGAUGACAGUUUGAAAACAUCCACUUCACUUUGAUGACCAUGGCUAACUUGCAACUGGAGCCACUGGGGGAGAUGGUUCUACGUUCUAAAAUGGAAAUGUUAGGUUUCGCAAGAAACAGUUUCUCCCCAUUCACCGAAUAAGAGCACUGUGAAAAAGCUGGCUGAAGGUCCUUACAAUGCUUUUAGACCAGACUGCACUGUGGAUGGUUGCAUGAUUCUGCCCCGUGUUCCUAUGCCAGCAAUCCCAGCCGAGUCACUUUGGCAGAGAGGAAUGAGUGGAUGAUGAAGACAAUGGUUUUGGGGCAGGAAUGAAGAUCUAGUUGCUGCAAUGAAGGAAAACAUUGACAACAAUCAGUGGUUGGUUCAAAGCAUUUCACCACACUAUAUUCCUGGAAAAUUGACCCUUCUCUAUAGAUGAUUGUAAAAUAAAGAGUUAAGAACUACAAAAAGUAGAAGAAUUGGACAAAUCCAUUAAUCAUCCACCACACAACCCCAGAGAAGAAGUGGCUGCACCCAACAUAUUAGAUGAUGGACUGAUACAGUUCCUUCUCCAUCAUAUAAAAAGAAAGUUCAACAUAGAUUAGUGAUCAUAAUAGAUGCUAUGCUAAGUUUUACUAGGAGUAGACUCAUCAAAAUUAAUGAGCCUAAGUUAGUCAUGCGCAUUAAUUUCAAUGGGUCUACUCUGAGUAAGCAAUGGCUAAAACCCAUAAUGAAGGGUUAAGCACUGGGAGAAAAAAGAGAGAAUGUGCUAUUGGGGGAACUUGCCACUGAGUACCAGACAGACAGCAAUAAUAAAAGACCAAGGACAUUGAACUGUGUAUAAUUCUUUAUCCAUGCCUACUUCAAGACUCUGCAUAUUGCUCUGACCUUAAGAGAAAAAAACUGACCUUUAACCCUGUACUUGUAAUACCUUAUGCAAAUUAAGGAUAUUUGCGUACACUAACUUGCUUUGCAACCCUGUUUUUAUGUUCAUUUUAUCAAAAUAGGAAUAGUGAUGGAGCAGAGGCUGCCAUGUUUUCUCUCAUUCUAUCAUGCAAAAUCUGUUUUUAAGAUGUUUUAGAGUGUUUUUAGUGUUUUGUUUGCCACCC